CGAAGUCGCAAGCUCGCGAGAGUAAGCUAAUCNCUUAAAGCCGUUCUCAGUUCGGACUGUAGGCUGCAACUCGCCUACACGAAGUCGGAAUCGCUAGUAAUCGCGGAUCAGCAUGCCGCGAUGAAUACGUUCCCGGGCCUUGUACACACCGCCCGUCACACCAUGGGAGUCGGAAAUGCCCGAAGCCGGUGACCAAACCAAUAAGGAAGGAGCCGUCGAAGGCAGGUCUGAUAACUGGGGUGAAGUCGUAACAAGGUACC
rnacentral:rRNA from 1 species